rnacentral:tRNA from 1 species
AAGACUAUAGUCAAUAUUAUGACGUAUGAGUUGCAUUCAUAAAGAGUCCGUUUGGACUAGUUUU